GAUGAACGCUGGCGGCGUGCCUAAUACAUGCAAGUCGAGCGGACAGACGCGGCUCUCGCUCUACUGACGUUAGCGGCGGACGGGUGAGUAACACGUGGAUAACCUACCUAUACGACUGGGAUAACUGCGGGAAACCGGAGCUAAUACCGGGUAAUAUAUUGAACCGCAUGGUUCAAUAGUGAAAUCCGUUUUUGCUGACCCCUAUAGAUGGAUGCGCGUCGUUUUAGUUAUUUGGUAAGAUAACGGCUUACCAAGGCGACGAGGCGUAGCCGACCUGAGAGGGUGAGCGGCCACGAGGGAGCUGACACACGGUCCAGAAUCCUACGGGAGGCAGCAGUAGGAAAUCUGCCGGAAGGGGCGAAAGCCUGACGAAGCGACGCCGCGUGAGGCAUGAAGGUCUUCGGAUCGUAGAACUCUGUUAUGAGGGAAGCACAAAUGUGUAAGUAACAAGGCACGUGUUAAGGGUCCCAAAUCAGAAGGCCACGGCUAACUACGU
rnacentral:rRNA from 1 species